CAUUUUUAAAUUAACUACGUAAUGAACAAUUUCGUGACUACUGCAAGUUUUUUUAUGAUGAUUAUUAUUAAAUGCACUUGCUUGGAAAAUAGUGAUUCAGUUAAAAUUCAUACUUACGAAUAUGGUGAAUAUUAAGUUUUGUUGCUUUUUGUACAAGUUCUUUAAAUUAUGUUGAUACACAUUAUUAACCGACUUCAAAAAGAAGGAGGUUAUCAAUUCGGUUGAUAAUUUUUAUGUAUGUUCACCAAUUACGGCGAGCUAUGGAAAUCACACUUACGAUGAUGUAUUAUCUUUCGUAUAUGGUGGUGUUGUACCGGCUUUUAUACCCCAUUAUAACUUGAGUGUCAAACCAAUCAAUAGUGAACAAAAUAAACCGUUUACAUAUUUGAGGAUCCAAUAUUCAAACAAUUUAUCACCAGUCGUCAUUGACUAUGAUAGAAAUAAAUCUACUGUACACUUUUACAUAAAAUAUCCGUUCAUAAAUUUCCCAUUUGGAGUGGAUGGAUAUUCUUAGCUGUUGAAAGAAGACUAUUAAAUAUAAGAGGAUAAAUUUACUGCUGCAAUCACUCUAA
rnacentral:misc_RNA from 1 species